AUUGAACGCUGGCGGCAGGCCUAACACAUGCAAGUCGAACGAGUGGCGGACGGGUGAGUAAUGUCUGGGCAACUGCCUGAUGGAGGGGGAUAACUACUGGAAACGGUAGCUAAUACCGCAUACCAUCGGAUGUGCCCAGAUGGGAUUAGCUAGUAGGUGGGGUAACGGCUUACCUAGGCGACGCUCCCUAGCUGGUCUGAGAGGAUGACCAGCAACACUGGAACUGAGACACGGUCCAGACUCCUACGGGAGGCAGCAGUGGGGAAGAUUGCAAAAUGGGCGCAAGCCUGAUGCAGCCAUGACGCGUGUAUGAAGAAGGCCGUCGGGUUGUAAAGUACUUUCAGCGGGGAGGCGUUACCGGCAGAAGAAGCACCGGCUAACUCCGUGCCAGCAGCCGCGGUAAUAC
rnacentral:rRNA from 1 species